GAUGAAGAACGCAGCGAAAUGCGAUAAGUAGUGUGAAUUGCAGAAUUCAGUGAAUCAUCGAAUCUUAGAACGCACAUUGCGCCUGCCAGCACUCUGGCAGGCAUGCCUGUUCGAGCGUCAUUUCAACCAUCAAGCCCUAGGCUUGCGUUGGAGCCCUGCGGCUGCCGCAGGCCCCUAAAAGCAGUGGCGGGCUCGCUAUCACACCGAGUGCAGUAGAUUACUCUUCGCUCAGGGCGUGUGGCGGGUUCCAGCCGUGAAACCCCCUACUUCUCAAGGUUGACCUCGGAUCAGGUAGGAAUACCCGCUGAACUUAAGCAUAUCAAUAAGCGGAGGA
rnacentral:misc_RNA from 1 species